rnacentral:rRNA from 1 species
UACGUAGGGUCCGAGCGUUGUCCGGAAUUACUGGGCGUAAAGAGCUCGUAGGUGGUUUGUCGCGUUGUUCGUGAAAACUCACAGCUCAACUGUGGGCGUGCGGGCGAUACGGGCAGACUUGAGUACUGCAGGGGAGACUGGAAUUCCUGGUGUAGCGGUGGAAUGCGCAGAUAUCAGGAGGAACACCGGUGGCGAAGGCGGGUCUCUGGGCAGUAACUGACGCUGAGGAGCGAAAGCGUGGGUAGCGAACAGG